UACGGAGGGAGCUAGCGUUGUUCGGAAUUACUGGGCGUAAAGCGUGCGUAGGCGGCUUUGUAAGUUAGAGGUGAAAGCCCGGGGCUCAACCCCGGAAUUGCCUUUAAGACUGCAUCGCUUGAAUCCGGGAGAGGUGAGUGGAAUUCCGAGUGUAGAGGUGAAAUUCGUAGAUAUUCGGAAGAACACCAGUGGCGAAGGCGGCUCACUGGACCGGCAUUGACGCUGAGGUGCGAAAGCGUGGGGAGCAAACAGG
rnacentral:rRNA from 1 species